UUCCAUGAUCGCCAUAAGAUGCACGAGAGCGAAAGCAUUUCACUCAAUUGCGUUCAUUAAUCAAGAACGAAAGUUAGGGGAUCGAAGACGAUUAGAUACCGUCGUAGUCCUAACUAUAAACGAUGUCAACCAAGGAUUGGAUUAGUUUUAGAGUGACAGAAGUCCGGUAACACUGUUACUGGGCUGACGGAUCUCGCUUCCACCUUAUUCAGAACUUAAAGAGAAAUCUUGAGUUUAUGGACUUCAGGGGGAGUAUGGUCACAAGGCUGAAACUUAAAGGAAUUGACGGAAGGGCACACCAGGAGUGGAGCCUGCGGCUUAAUUUGACUCAACACGGGAAAACUUACCAAGACCGAACAGUAUUAGGAAUGACAGAUUAAGGGUUCUUUCAUGAUUUAUUGGGUAGUGGUGCAUGGCCGUUCUUAGUUGGUGGAGUGAUUUGUCAGGUUAAUUCCGGUAACGAACGAGACUGAAGCCUAUUAAUUAGUUUCUCGCCUAUAAGACGAGAAUGUCCGCAAGGAUGGAUGCUCUCGCAUCACUUCUUAAAGGGACUAAUAUCAAUUGUUUCUCGGUUGAUCAGUGCGACCAUCUCGAUGGUACCUUUUCAAUCGGAAAAAAAGAUAAUGGAAGCAUUCAGCAAUAACAGGUCUGUGAUGCCCUUAGACAUCUUGGGCUGCACGCGCGCUACAAUGGAGAUACUAGCGAGUAUUUGUCGGGAAUGCUCGGUUUAUCGGCUCUGUCGGUGAAUCGAGAUUUUCUCCGGUGUACCGAGACUGAAAUAGUUUAGGAAAACUCAAAAGAUCGUACAUGACAG
rnacentral:rRNA from 1 species